UCCCUGGUGGCUCAGUAGGUUAAGAAUCUGCCUGCAAAGCAGGAGAGCCGGGUUCGAUCCCUGGGUUGGGAA
rnacentral:tRNA from 1 species